UACGGGGGGGUGCGAGCGUUGUCCGGAAUCACUGGGCGUAAAGGGCGCGUAGGUGGUUUUGAUAAGGGUGUGGUGAAAGUCCGGGGCUCAACUCCGGAUCUGCCGUGCCGACUGUCAAACUCGAGGGCUGUAGAGGCAGACGGAAUUCCGGGUGUAGCGGUGGAAUGCGUAGAGAUCCGGAGGAAGACCGGUGGCGAAGGCGGUCUGCUGGGCAGUUUCUGACACUGAGGCGCGACAGCG
rnacentral:rRNA from 1 species